UACGUAGGGGGCAAGCGUUGUCCGGAAUCAUUGGGCGUAAGAGCGCGUAGGCGGUCCGGUAAGUCCGCUCUGAAAGCCCGGGGCUCAACCCCGGGAGGCGGGCGGAUACUGUCGGGCUAGAGUCCGGAAGAGGCGAGUGGAAUUCCUGGUGUAGCGGUGAAAUGCGCAGAUAUCAGGAGGAACACCGGUGGCGAAGGCGGGUCUCUGGGCCGUAACUGACGCUGAGGAGCGAAAGCGUGGGGAGCGAACAGG
rnacentral:rRNA from 1 species